UAGGGAAUCUUCGGCAAUGGACGAAAGUCUGACCGAGCAACGCCGCGGGAGUGAAGAAGGCUUUCGGAUCGUAAAACUCUGUUGUUAGAGAAGAACAAGGACGUUAGUAACUGAACGUCCCCUGACGGUAUCUAACUAGAAAGCCACGGCUAACUACGUGCCAGCAGCCGCGGUAAUACGUAGGUGGCAAGCGUUGUCCGGAUUUAUUGGGCGUAAAGCGAGCGCAGGCGGUUUCUUAAGUCUGAUGUGAAAGCCCCCGGCUCAACCGGGGAGGGUCAUUGGAAACUGGGGUACUUGAGUGCAGAAGAGGAGAGUGGAAUUCCAUGUGUAGCGAUGAACUGCGUAGAUAUAUCGAGGCACACCAGUGGCGAAUGCGGCUCUCUGGUCUGUAACUGUCGCUGCGGCUCGCAAGCGUGGUCAGCAAACAGG
rnacentral:rRNA from 1 species